UGGGGAAUUUUGGACAAUGGGCGCAAGCCUGAUCCAGCCAUGCCGCGUGCGGGAAGAAGGCCUUCGGGUUGUAACCGCUUUGUCAGGGAAGAAAUCUUCUGAGUUAAUACCUCGGGGGGAUGACGGUACCUGAAGAAUAAGCACCGGCUAACUACGUGCCAGCAGCCGCGGUAAUACGUAGGGUGCAAGCGUUAAUCGGAAUUACUGGGCGUAAAGCGUGCGCAGGCGGUUUUGUAAGACAGAGGUGAAAUCCCCGGGCUCAACCUGGGAACUGCCUUUGUGACUGCAAGGCUUGAGUGCGGCAGAGGGGGAUGGAAUUCCGCGUGUAGCAGUGAAAUGCGUAGAUAUGCGGAGGAACACCGAUGGCGAAGGCAAUCCCCUGGGCCUGCACUGACGCUCAUGCACGAAAGCGUGGGGAGCAAAACAGGAUUAGAUACCCCUGGUAGUCCACGCCCUAAAACGAUGUCAACUGGUUGUUGGGAAGGUUCCUUCUCAGUAACGUAGCUAACGCGUGAAGUUGACCGCCUGGGGGAGUACGGCCGCAAGGUUGAAACUUAAAUGAAUUGACGGGGUCAUAGCUGUUU
rnacentral:rRNA from 1 species